AUGCGUCCGCUGCCGCUGCCCGGGGCUGCGUCCCCGAGGGGCUGGGGAGCGCGGCUCCAAGCGCUGCUCAGUCCUGGCCUUUUCCGAGUUGCAGAUUUCAUUCCACACCAAGAAAAUAUCAGGAUCAAACCCAAUCCAUCCCUUGGAUCUGGAGCCAGCAAGCUGAUUGUGCAGCACAGCAGGAGACAGCAGUGCUCCAUCCCAGCAUUACACCGUAAUUAAUGCUCUCGGAACGACCUUGAAAGAUGUACAGGAGCGUAUAGGCUUGUCUAAAUAUGGAAACCAAAUCAUUCUAAUGAAACACUGAUAAAAAUACAGACCUUAAGCGGUGUUGGAAGAGCCUUUGAACAGUGAAAUUGGUAAAGGUUCCUUUAAGUCCUGUCUUUUCUGAGUUGCAGGGG